GACGAACGCUGGCGGCGUGCUUAACACAUGCAAGUCGAACGGAAAGGCCUGCUUUCCCUUGUGGAUUGCGGGUACUCGAGUGGCGAACGGGUGAGUAACACGUGAGUGAUCUGCCCCCAACUUGGGUAUAAGCCUGGGAAACUGGGUCUAAUUCCCGAUAGGACUGCAGGGUGGUGCCUGUGGUGGAAAACGAUUUUCUAGUGGUUGGGGAUGAGCUCGCGGCCUAUCAGCUUGUUGGUGGGGUAAUGGCCUACCAAGGCGGCGACGGGUAGCCGGCCUGAGAGGGUGGACGGCCACAUUGGGACUGAGAUACGGCCCAGACUCCUACGGGAGGCAGCAGUGGGGAAUAUUGGACAAUGGGCGGAAGCCUGAGGCAGCGACGCCGCGUGGGGGAUGACGGCCUUCGGGUUGUAAACUCCUUUCGACCGCGAGGAAGCCACCUGGUUGGAAGGGUGGUGACGGUAGUGGUAGAAGAAGCACCGGCUAACUACGUG
rnacentral:rRNA from 1 species